UGGCUCAGGAUGAACGCUAGCUACAGGCUUAACACAUGCAAGUCGAGGGGCAUCGAGAAGAAAGCUUGCUUCUUGUCGGCGACCGGCGCACGGGUGAGUAACCGCGUAUCCAACCUACCCUUUACACUGGGAUAGCCCGUUGAAAAGCGGAUUAAUACCAGAUGCAGUCCUUUGCGGACAUCUAAGUAGGACGUAAAGGUUUUUCCGGUAGAGGAUGGGGAUGCGUCCGAUUAGCUUGUUGGCGGGGUAACGGCCCACCAAGGCGACGAUCGGUAGGGGUUCUGAGAGGAAGGUCCCCCACACUGGUACUGAGACACGGACCAGACUCCUACGGGAGGCAGCAGUGAGGAAUAUUGGUCAAUGGGCGUAAGCCUGAACCAGCCAAAAGUAGCGUGCAGGAUGACGGCCCUAUGGGUUGUAAACUGUCUUUUAGUAGGGGAAUAAAGUUCGGGACGUGUCCCGUUUUGUAUGUACCCUAUGAAUAAGGACCGGCUAAUUCCGUGCCAGCCGCCGC
rnacentral:rRNA from 1 species